rnacentral:lncRNA from 1 species
UAAAGGUUCUGGCUUAAAAUCAAUAUUACAAGCAAAUGCAUAGGAAAUAAAAAAGUGAGUAGCACUUAUAUCGAUCAAAGGCUUGGCAGAAGUAUCAUGAAUAGAAAGAACACCCUGGAUAAGAAUAGGAGUGGGGAGAGCACCGGCUUUAUCUAAGUGGUACACACGACCCUGUGCUACAGGCUUAGCCAUGUCCUUCGAUCGCUGGGGGCAAUCUUCUAUAAGGUGUUGGGUGCUUUCGCAUCAAU